UGGCCCGCCCUGUUCACCCAGGCCCACAGUGUAAAUAACUGGAGACAGGCAGUCAGAUGUGAAAUGGCAAAGGUGAUUAUGCCGCGGAUGUCCGUGGUCCUAAGCGUGGGCACCUGAGUGGCGUGGGGAAGAGAGGUCGAGGCAGUGUGGGCCCAGGAGGGAACAGUUUCAGCCCAGGUGCACAAAUUGGACACAACUUUGUCCUCCCUGCAGCCUGGCAGGCCUACCGCAUGAGUUGCUUUCUAAAAUGCCGUGAGCAGAUUUGUAAGAGCCAAAGACUUGUAAGUGGGAUGAAUGGGAAGGAACCUUUACUUCUCAACCUGCUGCUCCUAAGAGAUGCCUGUGGAGUUCCGAGUCUGGGUGGCGAAAACCAUGACAUCCUAAUUACUGAACCAGUGAUGGCUUGAUCUGUUGUCUUGUUGGAAGAGCGGUCCUGACUCUGCCCGGCAGGAUAGUACCACAGUUAUACAUAGUGCCUGAAUGACGGCACGGAAGAGAGGAACAAUUGAAAACAAAAGAAAAGGAUUGAUUCUUCAGAAAAGAAACAGAAAUGGAAACUAGAAAGUGUGGGGCAGAUUUUCCCAGCAUGCAAACAAAAAUACUGCUAAAGAUGAUGAAAAAAGAAAAAUAACGAAGUGAACUGCACCCAGGAGUCAAGGGAGAACCAGCCUGUUCUGCCCCUGGUGCUGCAGCACGGAACAGUAUUUUGUGUACUUUGCAGGUUUGAAGUCUUGCUUGCCUUCAGGGUUUUCAGUUAACAUGCAAAGUAGUGAGUUUUCAUUAUGGCCUUUCAUAUAUAAAUGUCACUCUCGUUUGUUCUUGUCCCCGUGUUCUCUCCUACCCUUCUCCCCAUUCUGUUUGUCUUCUCCCUUUUCCCAAGUGAUCUCUCUCUCUGCUCUGAUGUCCCAAACACACAUUUAUACAGUUAGAUUCCACACAUGAGGAAACGUAGUAUUUGUUCAAGUCUGGCUUAUUUUGCUUAGCGUGAUCUUCGGUUCUAUCUUCCUUUCUGUGUGACUUGAGUAGCAUGUCACUGUGCGUAUAUACCACAUUUGAAAACUCGCCUGUCAUUGCUGGACUCCACACCUCUCCACAGUUGAUGCUGUGAAGCAUGCAGCAGUGGGGAGGAAGCCCCAUGGCCACUUCCUUAGACUUAGCCCUAGGUCUUUUUGCUUGCUGUUGCUUUAAAUGUCCCCAAAGAUCUUCUGUUUACUGUUGGUACAGUUGGAGAGAUGCUUCAGCUGUUAGUUAGGCUCACAACCAAAGUGUCAAAAUGCAUUUCGAUUGCUAUUUUCAUAACAAGACUUCCUGUGUAACCCUUAUUACUAUUUUUUAUGUUUUGGAAGUGAGGUCUCACCAUGUAUCCCACAAGGCCUCAGUCCUUGCCUCUGCUUUCCAAAGGCUUGGAUUAGAGGGCUGGGCUGCCAUGGCCAUUUUUUUUUACCAUUCCCACCUGGGCAGUCGAGUGGCUUUAUAUAUAAUGUAAUGUUGUGCAACCACACAAUGUUCAUUUUUUGUUUUUGUUAUAGUCUCAUAUAGCCUAGGCUGGCCUUGACUGCUAUGUGGCCAAGGGUGACCUUGAACUUCUGAUUCCCCUGCUUCUACCUCCCAGCUUCUGAGAUUAUGCACCAUCAUAGUUGGUCUCUUGUUUUGCCAUAGGGUCUUGUUGAUCUCAAACUCACAAUCCCCCUCCUGUCACCCCCCUAAUGCUGGUAUUCUAAGCACCCAUUAUCACAAUUCUUGUUCUAAACAACAAGUUUAUGGUAAUUUGUACCUGUUAUAUGUCUAGUACUCACUGUUCAGCUGUAGAUGUGGACUGAGUUACUGUGGCUCUCAGUUCGUAGUUGUAUCAUAUUGUUUGCAGUGGAAGGGAGCCGGGAGUGUUGCAAGUGCUGCGGACAGCAGGAGAAAGCCACCCCAGGAUGUACCUGAGUGUCUGCACACAUCCGUGGAGGAGGCAUAGAUGAAUCCAGUCAUGUAAGAGCUGAAGGUGUGCCAAUCCUGAGGUGGAGGCUGCUGGAUUCUGGUAACCAAGAAACUGGCUUCCGAGACACUGAUGUUGUAUCAUGUGGCUGGAUGGAGAGGAAAGAAACACUGAGGAAGAUUAACCCCCCUUCAGCUCUGUCUCCUCAGUUGUGGUGGGCAAGCAAAUGGUCCCACCUAGUUCCAUGAGCCAAGCUGAUUCUGUCAGCGAGGGUGUGGGAAUCUGGGAGUUCAAGGCCACCUUCUCCUUGGACUCUCUGGCUCAUUUGAUUGCUCAGUGUGUUCACCUCCCACCCCUAGGGCUGGCUCACAGAUACUAUAGGAAGAUGGCAGCAUGGGUAAACAUGUUAUGUAGUCUUAUUUUACUUAUGCUGUGUCCUGAAAAGACAGGAUUGAGUUUAUAGUUAGAGUGAGAUUGAAGUGGGGACUGCAGCACAAGAUUCCAGAAUACACUGCUGUGCGGAACCUGGGACAGUGUACAGCUGUCCUCUCUAUCACCCCUGUCCUGGGGGCACACUACUGGAUAGUGGGAUUAUAGGCUGGGUGAUUACCCAUGUCCCUUUGCUUCAGAAUCUCUAACUGAGGCUUCAGGACCAGGAAUCCAGGAUGCUCCAGACCAGUGAUGACUUUCCUGUUUUCUUUCCUUCUAUCUUCCUUUGGGAAGCUCAGAAUCAAAAGUCUUUGAGGACUACUUCCCUAAUGGCUCUUCCUGACUAAGAGUUGUUUUCUUCGCUGCAUAUGUCUGGUGUUCAGUGACUGUCAUUACAUUUCAGUUUAUCAUGAGGCCUGGUCUCACAUGUUCUUCAGCUGUCACAGAGUUAUGGGUGGGGCACAUAUCUUGCUUUUGAAUAAGAUUACCAACUUCUGGGCUCAAAUAGGAGAUGCCUGUGGCUUAGGACAGUUAGAAUCUGCUGCUAUGUGGAGCAGGCUUUCUGUGUGCUAGGGAGGGUUUCUGUGUGUAAGCGACCCAUUGGCAGGUGCACAUGUUCUUCCUUCAUUUGUCUGGUCACUUAGCAAACAUCUCCUGUUUACUGAACUCCCAGUGUGAGCGGCAAAGCAUUCAAAGAUGGCUGGUGGUCUCUCUGGGAUGGUUGUCUUGAGCAUUUAGUUGUUCAGGAGCUUUCCCUGCCUCUGUGCACUUCCUUUGAGUUCGGUUUCAAACCAAACUCACUAGGCUAACUCAGAUGCCUAUUAACAUAUCAAAGCAGACACUGGUGGCCAGGUUCUCCCAGCAUUCCUCAGUACCUACCUGUUUGAGGUCCUCCUGGCUGGCAUACCCUAUCUCCUUCCCUGAAUUCUCCAGCCCAAGUACUGGUCUGGGCUCCCUGCCUCCCAGCUCCUCUGGCCCCCUGUAUAAGUCACCAGUUUUGGUUACAGCUGUCUCUUGAUCCUGGCUGCCCAUCUUGGUUGGUCUGCAGCUCCUCUCUCGCUCGCAGUCCUUCCCCCUCUGGUCACAUGGCGUGGCUCAGUCUGUCCGCGUCCACUCUGGACUCUCCCAGAUGUCUCCAUCUCUACCUGUUUUCUCCCUUAUAUCUAUAAUAAAAACUUCAGCCCCUUA